rnacentral:tRNA from 1 species
GGAGAGGUGGCUGAGUGGUCGAAGGCACUGGUUUCGAAAACCAGCAUGUGGGAAACUGCAUCGAGGGUUCGAAUCCCUCCCUCUCCGCAA